ensembl:lncRNA
CCACCCUGCCUAGCCUCACCUAGCCCCACCCCGCCUAGCCUCACCCCGCCUAGCCUCACCUAGCCCCAACCCACCUAGCCCCACCCUGCCUAGCCCCGCCUAGCCUCACCUAGCACCACCCCGCCUAGCCCCUCCAGGCUCAGUCUGCUCUGCACCACAGGCCCCAUCUGUACACUAUGCAACUCUUUGGAUACGUCCCAAAUAGCACCCUUUCCCUAUGUAGUGCACUACUUCUGACCAGCACUACAUAGGGAGUAGGGAGCCAUUCGGAAUAGAACCAAUGUUCACAAUACACAAGAAGAACUUUAUUUAUUGAACAUAGUUUUCUAACUUUAACUCGACUACCUUUCUGUUCAUAUGGAACGAGAAACAAAAUCAUGGAUUUGAGGAUAUUUAAAAAAUAUUUAAGGUUUUAUUUUAUCACUGUUGGUUGCUCACAACUACUACAAUAUUUCUCAUAACGUUUAGAACAAUAAUACAAGUGUAUUUAUUCUGAAAGGAGAUGUGAAGAGGGCUUGCUUUGUGACGAUACCUCAGUGUGUUAAAACUCUUCUCAGUUUACAUUGCAUACAAUACUUCAUCUCCUGGCCUCUUGUGUCCCAAAUGGCACCCUAUUCCUUAUAUAGUGCACUACUUUCACCGGAGCCUUAUCAGCCUUGGUCAAAAGUAGUGCACAACAUAGAGAAUAGGGUGCCAUUUGGGACGCACAACCGGUCUCACAUCAUCUCUGAACCCUCCAUGUAGAAUAACAGCCAUGUUCUCUCUUUAAGGCAGACUAAGGGCUGAGAGAGAGGUGGUAAUAUCACACCACAUCUGUGAUAUAAAGGUCUUUGUUGCUGUUUCUUGGAUGAGACCAUAACGUAGGCUAAUACAAUUCCCCCCCCCCUUGUUACGCCGCUUUCUGUGUUACGAGAUUGUGAAUGGUUUCAUUAAAGGCUGACUCAGCGAGAUGUCGUUGCACAAAGUUAACACCACCCUGCCUAGCCCCACCCUGCCUAGCCCCACCCUGCCUAGCCCCACCUAGUUAACACGUAGUGGAUCCAUUUCCUCCACAACUAGGGAGCACGAGGUUUAACUACUCCGCUGUUUUGGUCCUGUAGUUACCACAUUGUAGCAGCGUGAAGCGCGAGGUUAAACUACUCCGCUGUUUUGGUCCUGUAGCUACCACGUUGUAGAAGCGUGAGGUUAAACUACUCCGCUGUUUUGGUCCUGUAGUUACCACGUUGUAGAAGCGUGAGGUUAAACUACUCCGCUGUUUUGGUCCUGUAGCUACCACGUUGUAGAAGCGUGAGGUUAAACUACUCCGCUGUUUUGGUCCUGUAGCUACCACGUUGUAGAAGCGUGAGGUUAAACUACUCCGCUGUUUUGGUCCUGUAGCUACCACGUUGUAGAAGCGUGAGGUUAAACUACUCCGCUGUUUUGGUCCUGUAGCUACCACGUUGUAGCAGCGUGAAGCACGAGGUUAAACUACUCUGCUGUUUUGGUCCUGUAGCUACCACGUUGUAGAAGCGUGAGGUUAAACUACUCCGCUGUUUUGGUCCUGUAGUUACCACGUUGUAGCAGCGUGAAGCACGAGGUUAAACUACUCUGCUGUUUUGGUCCCGUAGCUACCACGUUGUAGCAGCGUGAAGUUAAACUACUCUGCUGUUUUGGUCCUGUAGCUACCAUGUUGUAGCAGCGUGAAGUUAAACUACUCUGCUGUUUUGGUCCUGUAGCUACCACGUUGUAGCAGCGUGAGGUUAAACUACUCUGCUGUCUUGGUCCCGUAGCUACCACGUUGUAGCAGCGUGAGGUUAAACUACUCUGCUGUCUUGGUCCCGUAGCUACCACGUUGUAGCAGCGUGAAGCGUGAGGUUAAACUACUCUGCUGUUUUGGUCCCGUAGCUACCACGUUGUAGCAGCGUGAAGCGCGAGGUUAAACUACUCUGCUGUUUUGGUCCCGUAGCUACCACGUUGUAGCAGCGUGAAGCGUGAGGUUAAACUACUCUGCUGUUUUGGUCCAGUAGCUACCACGUUGUAGCAGCGUGAAGCGCGAGGUUAAACUACUCCGCUGUUUUGGUCCCGUAGCUACCACGUUGUAGCAGCGCGAGGUUAAACUACUCUGCUGUUUUGGUCCCGUAGCUACCACGUUGUAGCAGCGUGAAGCACGAGGUUAAACUACUCUGCUGUUUUGGUCCCGUAGCUACCACGUUGUAGCAGCGUGAGGUUAAACUACUCUGCUGUUUUGGUCCAGUAGCUACCACGUUGUAGCAGCGUGAGGUUAAACUACUCUGCUGUUUUGGUCCUGUAGCUACCACGUUGUAGCAGCGUGAGGUUAAACUACUCUGCUGUUUUGGUCCAGUAGCUACCACGUUGUAGCAGCGUGAAGCGUGAGGUUAAACUACUCUGCUGUUUUGGUCCUGUAGCUACCACGUUGUAGCAGCGUGAGGUUAAACUACUCUGCUGUUUUGGUCCUGUAGCUACCACGUUGUAGCAGCGUGAGGUUAAACUACUCUGCUGUUUUGGUCCAGUAGCUACCACGUUGUAGCAGCGUGAGGUUAAACUACUCCGCUGUUUUGGUCCUGUAGCUACCACGUUGUAGCAGCGUGAAGCACACCCGUGCACAUGCUUUGUGUGAUUGUAUCUCACUUCAUCUUCGUUGCAACGUCAUCUCGAUGAGUCUACUUUUAAUUCCAUUGUAUCGUCAGCGGACGGUCUCCCAGUUGGGUCAGUACUCUGUCAGUACAUGUCUGUAUGGUGCUGUGUUUUAUGUUGGAAUAAUACUUCCAGGAGACUGGACCUUGACAGCGUACUGCAUCUAAGAACUAUCCCUUUGUGAUAUUACUGAAACUUAACCAACUGCCAUAUCUACUUAAAAGUUAUAUAUUUUACAAUUUCAACAGAGCAAAACAUUGUAUUUUCAGAUGUGUCAAAUAAAUUAACUUUUUUUUUUUACAACUUGUACUUCUCAGGUCAUUUAUCAUAUCCAGAGUGUGUAAAAAAAUUGACUUAAUUUGUUUCACAGAAGGGUACAUUUGUUUAUUUAAACAAAUCAUAUUUCAAAGGUGUAAAUGUCUCCCAUAUUAGUCAAUAGAAACAACCAUUUGGCUUAGUUCAUUAAAUGUCAGUAGUUACAGUGCCUUCAGGAAGCAUUCACAACCCUCAACUUUUCACACAUUUUGUUGUUACAGCAUGAAUUGUUUUUUUAUUUACAUUUAGAUUUUAUCACUGGCCAGCACAUAACACCCCAUCAUGUCAAAGUGGAAUUGUUUAUUUUUUGAAAUUAACUAAAAAUUAAAAGCUGAAAUGUCUAGAGUCAAUAAGAAUUCAACCCCUUUAUGGCAAGCCUACCAAGACAGUGGCCAAGUUACAAUUUUAACUUAAAUCUAUGGCAAUACCUGAAAACGGUGGUCUAGCAAUGAUUAACAACCCAUUUGACACAGCUUGAAGAAUUUAGAAAAUAAUGUGCAGAUGUUGCACUAUCCAGGUGUGGAAAGUGCUUAAGACUUACCCAGAAACACUCACACCUGUAAUCACUGUCAAAGGUGCUUCUACAAAAUAGUGACUUGGGUGUGAAAACUCAUGUAAAUUAUAUUAUAUAUAUAUAUAUAUUUCAUUUAAGUAAAUUUGAAAACGUGUUUUCACUUUUAUUAUGGGGUAUUUGUGUCUAGAUGGGUGAGGGGGAAAACAUCUAUAUAAUCCAGGCUAUAACAAACUGUUUUCACUUUUAUUAUGGGGUAUUUGUGUCUAGAUGGGUGAGGGGGAAAACAUCUAUAUAAUCCAGGCUAUAACAACACCUGUGGAAUAAGUCCAUGGGGAGAAAUACUUUCUGAAGACACUAUAACAAACAUAUAAAACAACAUGUAAAGUUUUGGUCCCAGGUUUCAUGAGCUGAAAUAAAAGAUCCCAGAAAUGUUCCAUGUGCACAAAACGUUUCUCAAAUGAUGUGCACAUUAGUUAACAUCCUCGUUAGUGAGCAUUUCUCCUUUUUGCCAAUUUAAUCCAUCCAUCUGACAGGAGUGGCAUAUCAAGAAGCUCAUUAAACAGCAUGAUCAUUACACAGGUGCACCUUGUGUUAAAGGUUUGAGGGAGAGUGCAAUUGGUAUGCUGACUGCAGGAAUGUCCACCAGAGCUUUCAAUGGUUUUUUUCUACCCUAAGCUGCUUUCGUUUUAGAGAAUUUGUCAGUAUGUUGAACCGGCCUCAUAACCGCGGCCCACUUGUAACAACACCGUUCCAGGACCUCCACAUCCGGCUUCUUCACCUGCGGGAUCGUCUGAGGCCCGCCACCCGAACAGCUGAUGAAACUGUAGGUUUGCACAACUGAAUCAUUUCUGCAUAAACUGUCAGAAACCGCCUCGGGGAAGCUCAUCUGCGUGCUCGUCCUCCUCA